AUUGAACGCUGGCGGCAGGCCUAACACAUGCAAGUCGAGCGAGCGGCGGACGGGUGAGUAAUGUAUGGGGAACUGCCCGAUAGAGGGGGAUAACUACUGGAAACGGUGGCUAAUACCGCAUAAUAUCGGAUGAACCCAUAUGGGAUUAGCUAGUAGGUGGGGUAAAGGCUCACCUAGGCGACGAUCUCUAGCUGGUCUGAGAGGAUGACCAGCCACACUGGUACUGAGACACGGCCCAGACGCUUACGGGAGGCAGCAGUGGGGAAUAUUGCACAAUGGGCGCAAGCCUGAUGCAGCCAUGCCGCGUGUAUGAAGAAGGCCUUAGGGUUGUAAAGUACUUUCAUCGGGGAGGCGUUACCCGCAGAAGAAGCACCGGCUAACUCCGUGCCAGCAGCCGCGGUAAUAC
rnacentral:rRNA from 1 species